CCUAAAGAAGAGAGGUUCCCCCAGAUUUAAAUCUAUGACUUUGAUAUAAAAGAAAAAAAUUAAGUCUCCCCCUAAAGAAAAGAGGUUCCUCCCAGCUUUAAAUCUAUGGACUCCUUGAUAUAAAAUAGAAAUUUAAACCUCUCUCAAAGAAGAAAAGUUCCCCCAGAUUGAAAUCUAUGACUUUCACAUAAAAUAAAGAAAAUUAAGUCUCUCCCCUCCCCCAAGGAAGAGAGGUUCUUCCCAACUUUAAAUCUAUGACUUUGAUAUAAAAGAAAAAAAUUAAGUCUCCCCCUAAAGAAAAGAGGUUCCUCCCAGCUUUAAAUCUAUGGACUCCUUGAUAUAAAAGAGAAAUUUAAGCUUCCCCCAAAGAAGAAAAGUUCCCCCAGAUUUAAAUCUAUAACUUUGAUAUAAAAAAGAGAAAAUUAAUUUCCCCCCCUCAAAAAAAGAGAGGUUCUUCCCAGCUUUAAAUCUAUGACUUUGAUAUAAAAGAGAGAAAUUUAAAUCUCUCCACCAAAGAAGAGAGGUUCCCCCAGAUUUAAAUCUAUGACUUUGAUAUAAAAGAAAAAAAUUAAAUCUCCCCCUAAAGAAAAGAGGUUUCUCCCAGCUUUAAAUCUAUGGACUCCUUGAUAUAAAAUAGAAAUUUAAACUCCCCCAAAGAAGAAAAGUUCCCCCAACUUUAAUUGUAUGACUGUUAUAAAAGAGAGAAAUUUAAGUCUCUCCCCCCUAAAGAAGAAAAGUUCCUCUCAGCUUUAAAUCUAUGGACUCCUUGAUAUAAAAUAGAAAUUUAAACCUCUCUCAACGAAGAAAAGUUCCCCCAGAUUGAAAUCUAUGACUUUCACAUAAAAUAAAGAAAGUUGUCUCUCCCCUCCCCCAAGGAAGAGAGGUUCUUCCCAACUUUAAAUCUAUGACUUUGAUAUAAAAGAGAGAAAUUUAAAUCUCCCCCACCAAAGAAGAGAGGUUCCCCCAGAUUUAAAUCUAUGACUUUGAUAUAAAAGAAAAAAAUUAAGUCUCCCCCUAAAGAAAAGAGGUUCCUCCCAUCUUUAAAUCUAUGGACUCCUUGAUAUAAAAGAGAAAUUUAAGCUUCCCCCAAAGAAGAAAAGUUCCCCCAGAUUUAAAUCUAUAACUUUUUCUAUAAAAGAGAGAAAAUUAAGUUUCCCCCCCUCAAAAAAAGAGAGGUUCUUCCCAGCUUUAAAUCUAUGACUUUGAUAUAAAAGAGAGAAAUUUAAAUCUCUCCACCAAAGAAGAGAGGUUCCCCCAGAUUUAAAUCUAUGACUUUGAUAUAAAAGAAAAAAAUUAAAUCUCCCCCUAAAGAAAAGAGGUUUCUCCCAGCUUUAAAUCUAUGGACUCCUUGAUAUAAAAUAGAAAUUUAAACUCCCCCAAAGAAGAAAAGUUCCCCCAACUUUAAUUGUAUGACUGUUAUAAAAGAGAGAAAUUUAAGUCUCUCCCCCCUAAAGAAGAAAAGUUCCUCUCAGCUUUAAAUCUAUGGACUCCUUGAUAUAAAAUAGAAAUUUAAACCUCUCUCAACGAAGAAAAGUUCCCCCAGAUUGAAAUCUAUGACUUUCACAUAAAAUAAAGAAAGUUGUCUCUCCCCUCCCCCAAGGAAGAGAGGUUCUUCCCAACUUUAAAUCUAUGACUUUGAUAUAAAAGAGAGAAAUUUAAAUCUCCCCCACCAAAGAAGAGAGGUUCCCCCAGAUUUAAAUCUAUGACUUUGAUAUUAAAGAAAAAAAUUAAGUCUCCCCCUAAAGAAAAGAGGUUCCUCCCAUCUUUAAAUCUAUGGACUCCUUGAUAUAAAAGAGAAAUUUAAGCUUCCCCCAAAGAAGAAAAGUUCCCCCAGAUUUAAAUCUAUAACUUUGAUAUAAAAGAGAGAAAAUUAAGUUUCCCCCCCUCAAAAAAGAGAGGUUCUUCCCAGCUUUAAAUCUAUGACUUUGAUAUAAAAGAGAGAAAUUUAAAUCUCUCCACCAAAGAAGAGAGGUUCCCCCAGAUUUAAAUCUAUGACUUUGAUAUAAAAGAAAAAAAUUAAAUCUCCCCCUAAAGAAAAGAGGUUUCUCCCAGCUUUAAAUCUAUGGACUCCUUGAUAUAAAAUAGAAAUUUAAACUCCCCCAAAGAAGAAAAGUUCCCCCAACUUUAAUUGUAUGACUGUUAUAAAAGAGAGAAAUUUAAGUCUCUCCCCCCUAAAGAAGAAAAGUUCCUCUCAGCUUUAAAUCUAUGGACUCCUUGAUAUAAAAUAGAAAUUUAAACCUCUCUCAACGAAGAAAAGUUCCCCCAGAUUGAAAUCUAUGACUUUCACAUAAAAUAAAGAAAGUUGUCUCUCCCCUCCCCCAAGGAAGAGAGGUUCUUCCCAACUUUAAAUCUAUGACUUUGAUAUAAAAGAGAGAAAUUUAAAUCUCCCCCACCAAAGAAGAGAGGUUCCCCCAGAUUUAAAUCUAUGACUUUGAUAUUAAAGAAAAAAAUUAAGUCUCCCCCUAAAGAAAAGAGGUUCCUCCCAGCUUUAAAUCUAUGGACUCCUUGAUAUAAAAGAGAAAUUUAAACCUCCCCCAAAGAAGAAAAGUUCCCCCACUUUAAUUCUAUGAUUUUGAUAUAAAAGAAAAAAAUUUAAGCUUCCCCCAAAGAAGAAAAGUUCCCCCAGAUUUAAAUUUAUAACUCUGAUAUAAAAGAGAGAAAAUUAAGUUUCCCCCCCUCCCAAGGAAGAGAGGUUCUUCCCAACUUUAAAUCUAUGACUUUGAUAUAAAAGAGAGAAAUUUAAAUCUCCCCCACCAAAGAAGAGAGGUUCCCCCAGAUUUAAAUCUAUGACCAUGAUAUAAAUGAGAGAAAAUUAAGUCCCCCCCCCCAAGGAAGAGAGGUUCUUUCCAGCUUUAAAUCUAUGACUUUGAUAUAAAAGAGAAAAAUUUAAGUCUUCUCCCUAAAGAAAAGGUUCCUCCCAUCUUUAAAUCUAUAGACUCCUUGAUAUAAAAGAGAAAUUUAAGCCUCCCCCAAAGAAGAAAAGUUCCCCCAGAUUUAAAUCUAUAACUUUGAUAUAAAAGAGAGAAAAUUAAGUUUCCCCCCCUCAAAAAAAGAGAGGUUCUUCCCAGCUUUAAAUCUAUGACUUUGAUAUAAAAGAGAGAAAUUUAAGGCUUCCCCAAAGAAGAAAAGUUUCCCCACAUUUAAACCUACGAUUUUGAUAUAAAAGAGAGAAAAUUAGGUCUCCCUCCCAAAGAAGAGAGUUUCCUCCCAGCUUUAAAUCUAUGGACUUCUUAUUAUAAAAUAGAAAUUUAAGCCUCUCCCAAAGAAGAAAAGUUCCCCAUGAUUUAAAUCUAUGACUCCUUGAUAUCAAAGAGAGAAAUUUAAGUUUCCCCCCCUCAAAGACGAGAUAGAUCUA